rnacentral:rRNA from 1 species
AAUAUUUGACAAUGGGGGCAACCCUGAUCCAGCCAUGCCGCGUGUGUGAAGAAGGUCUUCGGCUUGUCAAGCACUUUAAGUUGGGAGGAAGGGCUUUAGGUUAAUACCCUGAAGUUUUGACGUUCGCAGCAGAAUCAGCCCCGGCUAACUCUGUGCCAGCAGCCGCGGUAAUACUGAGGGUGCAAGCGUUAAUCGGAAUUACUGGGCGUAAAGAGCGCGUAGGUGGUUCAGUAAGAUGGGUGUGAAAUCCCCGGGCUUAACCUGGGAACUGCUUUCAUAACUGCUGAGCUAGAGUACGGUAGAGGGUAGUGGAAUUUCCUGUGUAGCGGUGAAAUGCGUAGAUAUAGGAAAGAACACCAGUGGCGAAGGCAACUACCUGGACUGAUACUGACACUGAGGUGCGAAAGCGUGGGGAGCAAAC